GACGAACGCUGGCGGCGUGCUUAACACAUGCAAGUCGAACGGAAAGGCCCUGCUUUUGUGGGGUGCUCGAGUGGCGAACGGGUGAGUAACACGUGAGUAACCUGCCCUUGACUUUGGGAUAACUUCAGGAAACUGGGGCUCAUACCGGAUAGGAGCUCCUGCUGCAUGGUGGGGGUUGGAAAGUUUCGGCGGUUGGGGAUGGACUCGCGGCUUAUCAGCUUGUUGGUGGGGUAGUGGCUUACCAAGGCUUUGACGGGUAGCCGGCCUGAGAGGGUGACCGGCCACAUUGGGACUGAGAUACGGCCCAGACUCCUACGGGAGGCAGCAGUGGGGAAUAUUGCACAAUGGGCGGAAGCCUGAUGCAGCAACGCCGCGUGCGGGAUGACGGCCUUCGGGUGGUAAACCGCUUUCGCCUGUGACGAAGCGUGAGUGACGGUAAUGGGUAAAGAAGCACCGGCUAACUACGUG
rnacentral:rRNA from 1 species